UCUUAAGAACCGGGACCUUCUGUUUACAUAUGCCGGCGUACGGCCACGUAAUCAAUAGAGGCUAUCAGGCAUCUCACGUGACCGGACAUUAACACAGCUCCAAUCUUGUUGCUUAGUUACAGCUCUGACACUGAUCAUGUGGCACGCACCACAUGACUAUACAUGCACUGACGCUACUGGAUGAGCUCCGGUCACGUGACCCGUUUUGGUCACAUGACCGAAGCUCUAAAGAUGAAUGAUAAUUUUUUAAGGUAUAAAAGGGCUUUACACCAGCCAAAAUACACUUGCUCCUGAGGAAGCUGGACCAUACCAACCAGCGAAACGUGUUGAGCUUCUUGCCUGUUCUGCUAUCUACCACCACUGCUGGCACCUAUUGGUCACUCCUGGGCAAAGACUGGACAUUUUCCACUGCAGUAUCCACCCACUUGGACUUACCAUCAUCUGUGAAGGACAUUACUACCCUUCCAGCUACUUACAAGGUGGAUGUUAUCUGCAUUUGGACCACUGGUAAACCCUCAUUAUUGCAAAGUAUUGGAUUUAUGCUUAUUAACCGAUUAUUGAUGGAUAUACCCAGUGACACUAGUCCGCUUUGAGUGCUCCCUAGCCAGCAUUGUGGAAUCAUUACCAUUGAUAAUCUAUACAGGCUUUUAUGUGGCAUAUUAUACUACAUUAAUUUAAAUGUUUCUAUUUUAAUAUGUGUCAUUAAUAAAUGUGUUUUAUUCUUUACAA